AUUGAACGCUGGCGGCAUGCCUUACACAUGCAAGUCGAACGGCAGCACGGGUGCUUGCACCUGGUGGCGAGUGGCGAACGGGUGAGUAAUAUAUCGGAACGUACCUUAUUGUGGGGGAUAACGCAGCGAAAGCUGUGCUAAUACCGCAUAAUCCCUAAGGGGGAAAGCGGGGGACCGUAAGGCCUCGCGCAAUUAGAGCGGCCGAUACCUGAUUAGCUAGUUGGGUAGGUAAAGGCUCACCAAGGCAACGAUCAGUAGCUGGUCUGAGAGGACGAUCAGCCACACUGGGACUGAGACACGGCCCAGACUCCUACGGGAGGCAGCAGUGGGGAAUUUUGGACAAUGGGGGCAACCCUGAUCCAGCAAUGCCGCGUGAGUGAAGAAGGCCUUCGGGUUGUAAAGCUCUUUUGUCAGGGAAGAAACAGCAGCUCUAACACAGUUUGCGAAUGACGGUACCUGAAGAAUAUGCACCGGCUAACUACGUGCCAGCCGCCGCCGUAA
rnacentral:rRNA from 1 species